UUCCUGAUAGCUCAGUGGUAGAGCAUAUGGCUGUUAACCAUCAAGAUGUAGGUUCGAAUCCUACUCAGGAAG
rnacentral:tRNA from 1 species